rnacentral:lncRNA from 1 species
CGCGAGGGGAGCCCGGCGCGAGGGGAGCACGGAACGCUGGCGCCGUGCUCCUGCCUCUUCAUCCUGUGCCCCUCUGAGCAGCACUGGCGUCCGUCAUGGACCCCCACACGGAUACCGCCUUCGCAGAGCGCCCGGAAGCGAGAGGAACUGAUAGAAGUCGUUAAGAUUGCAAAGACUAGGUUGUAUGAAGUCCUGCCCAAGCCAUCACUGAAAACAUUCCACUUUACUCUUCUGAUUUCAAGAAGGGUAACAGAGCAAUAUCCGAAGUGAUAGAUGUCGAUGCUACUGAACAUGCCACUCAGAGCUAAGGCAAGCACCAGAAUUCUUCACCUCCUCCCACCACUAAAACCCAGCCGUGGGCAUCUUCACUCCCCUGCAGCCUUCAAACACACCACACACAGCCAAAAGGAGAGAAAGAAAGAAGAUAAACCAGGAGAGAAGGAAGCAGCAAAGAAGAAAUGGAUAAGUGAAGAGAGG